rnacentral:rRNA from 1 species
CCUACGGGAGGCAGCAGUGGGGAAUAUUGGGCAAUGGGCGCAAGCCUGACCCAGCAACGCCGCGUGAAGGAAGAAGGCUUUCGGGUUGUAAACUUCUUUUCUCAGGGACGAAGCAAGUGACGGUACCUGAGGAAUAAGCCACGGCUAACUACGUGCCAGCAGCCGCGGUAAUACGUAGGUGGCAAGCGUUAUCCGGAUUUACUGGGUGUAAAGGGCGUGUAGGCGGGAAAGCAAGUCAGAUGUGAAAACCAUGGGCUCAACCUGUGGCCUGCAUUUGAAACUGUUUUUCUUGAGUGCUGGAGAGGCAAUCGGAAUUCCGGGUGUAGCGGUGAAAUGCGUAGAUAUACGGAGGAACACCAGUGGCGAAGGCGGAUUGUUGGACAGUAACUGACGCUGAGGCGCGAAAGCGUGGGGAGCAAACAGGAUUAGAUACCCCAGUAGUC